rnacentral:lncRNA from 1 species
UUGGCAUUUGCAUUUAGUAACAAGAAGCUCUCAACUCUCAAGAACUCUCAAGGCACUUCUGGAGCAAAUCUGAACGACAAGGCAGCAUCCUAGUGUUAACUAAGCAUCAAUAGGACCUUUAUAUAUGUUGAUUAGGAGGCCCAGUAAAAGCUACCACACUUACCGUUUGUGUUACAUACUUGCUCAGGUAAAUACAUUUUGA